AUUUUUUUAAGUCAAAUAUCAUUUAUUGAUCACAAAAUUAACCAAUUUAUUGGUCAAUCAACCAAAUAAAUGGUCACAAGCACCCUACUCCAUCCCAUUCCAUCCUACCUUCGACCUCUCCAUCGCCUCCACAACCACUACCACCACUAACAUCGUCACCACCUCACUAGACCACCAACAUCACCACCACAAUCAACGUCACAACUGUCACCACCCAAACAUCACCAAAAAAUCAAAUCCAAAAUAACGUUAUCGCACAACCAUGUUGCGACUUCGCAACAACCACAAGGCCGCAUCAUUACCACCACGAGUACCACCAAUAGCACCACGAAGUCACCAGGCUGCCAACAACACCACCACCUCGCCGUAGUAGCUAACAUCACAACUACCACCAACCAAAUACCAAACACCAAAUAUCAGAGAACGGGAUGCUGAAAGAACCAAACACCGCGCCAAAAUCACAACACCACCAACAAAACGCCGAAAAUAAAAUCCAAAAAUUAGAUAAUCGGAUGAAGACGGCGGCUAGGAACUGGAUGUUGGAAGAACCAAACACCGGGAGUUCGCAACAGCAUCCGAAAGAACUGGGCUGCUAUGCCUGACGCUAUUUACAGAAGAUGAAGACAACAGCUGGAAACGAGCUACCGACUGCUGUGAUGUGUGAGAUGGAGAGAUGUGGAGAGGGUAUGUUGAUUGCAGUGUGUCUGUGUGUGAGAGAGAGAGAGAGAUGGGUACUGAGAGAUGUAGUGAGAGAAACGAGAGUGGAGAGUACUGAGGGUGUGUGAUAAAUUUUGGUGGUAAUAUUAAAUAUUUGAAUUAAUACUACACGUAAAUCAAAAA
rnacentral:lncRNA from 1 species